rnacentral:rRNA from 1 species
CCCUUAUCAGGGGGAUAGCCUCUCGAAAGAGAGAUUAAGCCCGCAUAAUAUGAAGACAUAGCAUUAUGAUUUCAUCAAAUAUUUAUAGGAUAAGGAUGGGCAUGCGGAACAUUAGCUAGUUGGUAAGGUAAUGGCCUACCAAGGCAACGAUGUUUAGCUGGUCUGAGAGGAUGAUCAGCCACACUGGAACUGAGACACGGUCCAG